CUCCAGUCACUUCCCGAAAUGAGGAGGUGUUUGUGAUAAACAUUUCUGAAGUUGCUGUAGACAUCUGUACAUGGGGCACAGAUUCUCAAGUGGAAAUUACCUCCACGAGAGCCUGCAGCAGACGUUGAGUGAGUGGACCAAAGGGACAGCCGUCUUCUGGAGACUCAUGUUGGGACUCUGACUUUUUCAGCAACGAGUCCACAUCUGCGUGAACAUCA